UACGUAGGAGGCAAGCGUUAUCCGGAAUGACUGGGCGUAAAGGGUGCGUAGGUGGUUUGAUAAGUUGGUAGCGUAAUUCCGAGGCUCAACCUCGGCGCUACUACCAAAACUGUCGGACUUGAGUGCAGGAGGGGCAAAUGGAAUUCCCAGUGUAGCGGUGGAAUGCGUAGAUAUUGGGAAGAACACCAGCGGCGAAGGCGAUUUACUGGACUGUAACUGACACUGAGGCACGAAAGCGUGGGGAGCAAACAGG
rnacentral:rRNA from 1 species